rnacentral:rRNA from 1 species
UACGUAGGGGGGCAAGCGUUGUCCGGAUUUAUUGGGCGUAAAGAGCGUGUAGGCGGCCAAACAGGUCCACUGUGAAAACUCGAGGCUCAACCUCGAGAGGUCGGUGGAAACCGUCUGGCUAGAGUCCGGAAGAGGAGAGUGGAAUUCCCGGUGUAGCGGUGAAAUGCGCAGAUAUCGGGAAGAACACCCGUGGCGAAGGC